rnacentral:lncRNA from 1 species
AUUGGUUCAAAUGGAACCUAUUAGGGAUAAAUAGAAGGUCCGAGCUCGAAAUCGAAGCUCGCACCACGGAUUUCUCCGUUGUUGAGACCUAGGGUUUGGAAUUGGGUUUUUGGUAAAUCUAGGGUUUUGAUCUAUUUUAAUGGGUCGUAAACCUAAUUGCUAGGUCUCUGAACGCGUCGGCGAAGACGGUUUGCCGAUCCGACGAGCGGGUGCGGAGUUAUCGCCGAAUCGGGUACUCGAGGGCUCGCUUUGCCCCGAGGAGUUUAGGCGGCGUGCAAGAACCGCAACGUCGGGUUUUCUAUCAUCGCGGCAUCGCCAAGAGGUGGGUGGUGUCCAUCCCGAAGCAAUCGGGCUCCCUCCUAUGUCUUAGUACACGUCGAUUCUUGCAUCUUGUGUUAUUGCAUUAUAGGAUUAGUAUGCAUUGCCUUUCCUUAUGUUUUUCCUUGAGGAUAUCGUAGUGUAUAUUGAAUAUUUGAUAUAUUGGAUUGAUAAGGAUUGGGUCGAGAUUGUGAAUCCUAUAAUUUAGAGAAAAUGAUGAACAAUGAACGAGUGGCAUCUAGUCAAUAGUAAACCAUGAACGAGUGGCAUCUAGUCGAUAGCGAACAAACGGACAAUCUAGUUAAUAGUGUAUGUGACACCUAUGGACUAUAUGAUGAUUGUGAUUUUAGAGGACAGGGUAUCCUCAAGCUUAGAGGAUUGGAUCAUGCUCACGGUCNGAGGCCUCCGUGCUUCUGAGCCGUUUUCGAUGAUGGAAUUUUCGAAUCGACGAUCGACUCCGUUAGACUUUAUCUAGCGUAUUUGAAGUUUCUCGAAAAUAAUUUUUGUGAUUUUUCGAUAUCAUUUACCUAGCAAUUAAAAGGAUUCAAAAUCAAUAAUUUUUAACGGCUGAAAAUAAAAAUUCUAUAAAAAGUGGUGAUAUAGCACUAAAAUUUUCGAUCAGAAAUAUUGAUCUUGUUGUAGAUAGUAUAAAGAAUUUUAUAUCAAAAUUUUAUCUAAUUUGAAUACUUCUAUGCCGUUAAACUUGAAAACGGCAGAUAUCAACCAUUAAAAAUUAUUGAUUUUGACCCCUUUUGAUCACUAGGUAAAUGAUGUGAAAAAAUCACAAAAAUUAUUUUCUAGAAACCACAAAUACC